GCCGUGGAUAGUAAACUUGAAAAUGAUAGCAGAUAGAAUUAAAAUACACUUUAUUCGUAGUAUAUGUCUGUUCAAAGUAUACAGAAAAAACGCAAACCGGAAGUCUAAUCUGACUUAAAAUUUCGUCCAAUGACGGGACAAUAUCCGGAUGCCUUUUUUCUCGUUUUUCUCCCAAAAUAACUCAAUCUGAAUAAUCAUAUAAAUGGAUGACAAAUGCGACUAUGCACUGUACCUAUAGGAAACAGAGGCGUGUUGAUUAAUUUAUUGUGGAAAGAAGAGAAGCGACACCCA
rnacentral:lncRNA from 1 species